GUUAAGAAAACCUUAAAAAACUCACAAUGCUAUAAUAGCUAAACUAACUUAUAAAUUUGUGAAUUAUAUUUUGAGUCACUAGUGUAAAUUUCUCCCCAUUGUUACAUUUAACUAAAGAAUUAAGAACCAUUAGGAUUUAAUGAACAGAAUAAAAAAAAGCUACCUAGAUUUACAACCACUAUAUUAAUUUUAUUAAUGAAAAUCAUAUAAAACUUCAAUUGCGUGGGUCCGACAAAAUCACUUGUACAAAUUAUUCAAUAAUAAAGAGUGUAAAAAUACAGUUUUUAACAGAAAAAAAAAAAGAGUGCAAGUCUAUUAUUUUGACAGUUUGCAUUUGCAUGAUGAACAUAGACAGAGUUUAUGUUUAUGGCAAUUACCCGAUAUGCAAAGUUAUAAUUCUGUAUGAAAUAAUGGAUUUGGUGAUGCAAAGAUAGAAAUGUGGUAAGUAGUUGGUAGUAAAUAAGAGUAGUAAUAAAUAAAAGUUGGCACAGAUUCAUUCGAUUGCACAGUAUAAUCCAUUUAUCGGAAAUAACAACAAUAAAUUCAUGUAAAAGUAGGUAGGAUAAUCCUAGCUACCAAAAAUUGUUCGUCAUUAGAUGGUUUGCUUACAUCACUCUUUGAAUCUCCUCUCCUGUGUCUGGCCACCACAAAACCAAGAAAGGACACUGCCAUGAGACUAAAAGAACAGUGUUUCACUUUCCCUGUCCCUCUCUUUUCAUUUGCCUUGUGCGCUUAGUUGUUACAUUCUGACGGAAAAGCUUGCAACCCCAUUUCUUUAUUUACUCUCCUUUCUCCUCACAUUAGCCUUCUCCUAUUAAAAUAGCUAAAAAGCAAAGGGCUUUCUCUGAAAAUGUUUCUGAGGUUACCUGCCAUGAACAGGAGUUUGAACAGAGAGAAUCCAUAUAUUUUGAUUAUGAUGAUUGCAGGGAAACAGAUAAUAAGGGGUGUUGAGGAGGACAAAAGAGAUCAGAGAGAGAGCCAAGACAUGGGCCCAGUAAAGCCUGCAACACAAAUGAGUGCCACUGCACCAAACACUGAUCUCUUCACCCUUCUCCUCCAUCUUCCCCUCUUUUCUGCCUCUUUACCUUUCCCUCUUAAUUUAUGGCUUUUUUUGUAUUUCCAUUCGUCUCCAACAUCCCCACUUCCUUUUUCAUUCUCUUUUCGACUUUGACUCACUUUUUUCCUUUCCAUGCUCUUCUUCUUCUUCAACUUCUUGUCUUUAAUGUGCAAGGCUAGAGGAAAGCUUGAUGGGGUCUAAGGAAACCACACUCUUGUUUUGGGGUUUCGACGCUUGAAGAAAAAGAUUUUUCUGUUCAUGCAAAAGAAACCAACACAACUUUCGUGUAGCCUUCUUUUUCAUUUUCCUUUCACAUUCUUGUAGGUUCUCCAAAGACAACAUAUAUUGGCAAGGAGUUGUUAAGUGAAGGUCGGUUGUGCUAGCUCUUCACGUCUAUUGUCUGUCAGUUGAUAUUUAUAUAACUAAUCUAAAAGCACUCUUUGAUUAUCUUUUAUUUAUCCAUUUGCUUAUUUUAUCAUUUCAGUUUUGUUUUCUAGUUUAUCAAAGUAAACCUUUUCAGGAAGACAACUUCUAAAUCAAUAGCCUCAUUUAUUAAUUACUUGUUAUCUGAUGGAGAGAGAGAUGUAUAUCGCUCCACUGGAGAUUUCUGGUCGAGGUGAUACAGUAAUAGAUGAAAUAUCCCAACAUCCCACCUCAAAUCCUCUCAUUCAGUGCUAUUCACUUGACCUUAACAACCAAUCCCACAUCAUAAAUGGAAUUUCAAUGCUUUCUGGAGAGCAAGGUGAACCUACAAGUAAUGUCCAUACUGAUGCUUGCUUCAUUACUCCAUCAACUAUUGCUGACUCCUGUCCAUUAGUUACAUCACGGAGAAAGAUUAUUGUGGGAGAUGCCUCAAAUCCCAUGGAGAACUCUGAUUUUCAAGAGCAUUUAGUUGGAGGAGUGCCCCUCACUCCUGCUUCGCUAGCUGCCAUUCUUGCUGAUAGAAUUGGACUUGAAGAAAAUUUGGAGAAUUCAGCCGCCGCCCUAGCUCCCUCAAUCUUCUCCACGGGGGCACUAGAGGUAUUCUUCAACAAUUUGCAUGGUACUUCAAACCCUUUGUCUGGAAUUUUUGAGGAGUGUGGGUACAAUGAAGGUCCUAGUAAGUGGAAUGCUAACAAAUUUCCUAAAGCUCCAGAGAAUGAUGGAACUUGUCAGCCUUAUUCUUCUGUGGCAAACUUGGAUCCAAAUGAAUGGGCAACAUCAAACGUUGCAAACAUGGCCAAUUAUGCUCACUAUUCCUCUACUUUUAGUAAAGAACUUUCUCUGAGUCUUGCAACAUCUACAGCCGCAGGACAGUGCUCAAACGUGACUUGCUCUAAUAUGACCCCGUGCAUGAAUGGAACCAUUUCCUGCAGCAGUAGUAGGGAAAUUUCUAUGAAUUUGGGUGGUAAUAAAUAUGCACAAAUUUCACCGGAAGUACUGGAAUCGAGAUACCUUCUUGGGAUUCAAGAGAUACUUGCUCAAGUUGCAAGAUAUUCAUUUCAAAAUCCUGAACAGUUAAACUAUUCAGCCACUGGUAAUAGAGCAGGUGGACACAAGUCAACUUCAGCGUUUCCACCCAAGAGAAACAUCUUGACAGAUCACAAUGCAAGUUCUGUUUACGAAUCUCAUGCAGAGUCUCCAUUGCAAAGGCAGGCUUCUGAAUCUAAGAAAGCUCAACUGCUGGCACUUCUACAACUGGUAUGACACUGCAUCAUAAAUUAAUUCUUUUGAUGUUCAUAUUAAUUAUGGUCAUGAACAGAAUCAUGUUAGUAAUACAUUGCACUUGUCCACGUUCAGAUUCAUGGAUGGUAUAUAAAUUGCUAAAGUUGGUUCAUAAUAAUGGUCUAAAAAACGGAUAAGUAGAGGUGUUUAAGAGUAGAACAUGUAAGUAUUCAUCAUGAAAUAUUGUCAUACUACUAACUAGCAAGCUCUUUCUUAAACAGGUGGACAGUCGAUACAGCCAGUGUUUGGAUGAGAUACAUACUGUUGUAUCUGCAUUCCAUGCAGCUACCGAGCUGGACCCACAGAUACAUGCACAUUUUGCUCUUCAAACCAUCUCUGUCCUUUACAAGGACUUACGGGAGAGGAUUAGCAACUACAUUCUUGCCAUGGGAUCAAGCUUCAAAAAAUCGUGCACGGAAGACAGUGAAUGGUCCAUUGAAACUUCAUUCCUUCAAAAGCAAUGGGCUCUCCAGCAGUUGAAAAGAAAAGAUCAGCUGUGGAGGCCCCAGAGAGGCUUGCCGGAAAGAUCUGUCUCGGUUCUACGGGCAUGGAUGUUUCAGAAUUUCCUACACCCGUGAGUUUCAAAUAUGCAAUAUGCCUUCUUGGACUGGCUCUAUACUUCAAUCAUCAGAGUUUUAUCCAUGAAACGAAUUUAAAGAAUAUAUGUAAAGCAAGUAUUUAUUUAUUAUUUGAUGGAUUUCAGGUAUCCCAAAGAUGCAGAGAAGCAUUUACUUGCAGUGAAAAGUGGGUUGACUAGAAGUCAGGUAUUUAUCUACUUGUUUGUUUGUUAUUUUGUUCAAAGAUGAACAAUCUGAUAUGCUUGCUUGGUUGUGUCUUGAAACUCAGGUAUCCAACUGGUUUAUAAAUGCUCGUGUGCGGCUGUGGAAACCUAUGAUUGAAGAGAUGUAUGCUGAAAUGAACAAAAGAAAGGCCUGUCGAAAUGAAGAAGAAAUCCAGAAUAACCAUGGAAACAGGAUAAGCAUGAGUAAUCAAAGGUUUAAUGUUAACUAAAGGUGUACGAAGUCGCAUAACGAUAUAAAUCACCUUUUUUCUUUAUUCAAAUAGAAAACAGAACUGAGGCCAAAAUCUGAGCUUAUUGUUUUGCAUGGUAGGUAGGGUAUAUUAUUUAUGAGGAUGUCCUGUCCAUGAAGAAAAUAGAAUCUUAGAAAAUUUCACGACAUUUAUUUGUCCAUCCGUUCUAGAACUCGUCUUAUUUUUGCUUAUUUUUUAUUCCAUGGCGAUGCACCAGUAAAUGGGUGAAGCUGUAAAAGCGGAUAAGGUUCUUAAGAAGGUAAAGUCCAACAUUGAAAGAGGCUCGUGUUAAGGCAAAGUACCAGGUUGACGCCAUUAGUCAUGCCAUGGAGGUUUGGGCAUACCUGCAAGAACUAUCAAGUUCGUCAUUGUAGAAAAAAACUAUUACAUAUACUAUCUAUGAUUUUACAAAUUAAUUUCUUAACUCCUUUAACAGGAAAACAAAAUCCCAUGAUGCUUUUAUUAUUUCACUUCAGCCUUUCAGGGUCAGGAAUCUCUUGACGAUAAAUAAACUAUUAAGUAUCAGCAGGUAAAAAGAUACCGACAUGAAAAGGAAUUGAGUGUAAGAUUAAAUGGUGUGCCCACCGUUUUAGCUUUACAGUUGUAACAAAAACUCAUUUUUUAUUUAUCUGUCCAAAAAUAACACUUUUGAAGCUUUAGCAACUAUGUAGACUCGCUAACUUAAGUCUAUGACUACACAAAUAAAAGAAUGACUAUAGCUGCUUUCAAGUAAACUCUUCCCCCUUUUUCUUUCCUCUGUCGAUUCUCUGUUCAUCUCCAUCUAUCUACAAUGACAUGUCCCCCUUCACCAGAAUUUUGACAAAACAAAGAACUAUAAACUUGUGCAACAAUCAAAAUACAAAAUAGGUGCUAAUCUUUAUUCAUCUACGACUACUAACGUACUACAUCUCCACUGAAAUUCGUGUCUUGAUUGGUUUCAAUUUCAAACCCAUGCUCUCCGGGGAAUAAAGCUCAGGAGAAAUGCAAGAGGGACUCAAGGGACUUCUUGGGCUGACACUCAACUUAGAUGGUCUGUACAAGCCAUAUCCCAUGAGAAAGUACUCCAACGGUGUUAACAUGGCAUGAGGUUGCUCCUCUGUUACCAUUGACCCACACGCUUGAACCUGCACAUCCACCCACAAUAGCUAUUAAAUCUAGUUCAUUGUUUAUUGAUAAACACAUUCUUCCACAAAUUAAAAUGAAUAUGAAUUCUCUUACGCACUUCAACUAAGGCACUGAAUCGUCUAUCCAACUUAGAUACCAUGUGGAGAGCCUCAGAGUGAAAAGGAGACAUAUCCCCAACAAAAAUUAGUGAACGACAAUGUAAUUUUCUCAAUCCUUCACUGAUGUCAUGUCUCCUGAAAAAUGCCAAUACAAAGUUAUGGCUGUGUUGCUGUUUCAUAAUAUGUGGAACUAGAGCGUCACCAAAUGCAUUUAUGCAUGAAAAGUGGUAAAUUAACAACGAGUGCAUGUGUAAUUAAAUUCUGAAUCUCCGACUGACGUCUAGCAAUAAUUGGUACCAUGCUGAGAGCAAUGCCACUCCUACCCCCACCACCACCCAACUCAUACAUAUGUAUAAUAAAAUAGAUAGUCACUUUCGAGUUGGAUGAAAACCACUAUUUUGAAGUUUUAUCUUACCCAUUAAUCGCUUCAAGGAACCGCCACACAUUCAAACUCUGCCUCUCAUCCAAUGACUGUCAAGAAAUAUUUAAAAGAGAGUCAGACAAGGGCCCAGUUUCAAAUGCCAACAAACCCAGUCCAUACAUGGAAGCGUAAGAUAAAUUGGGCUAACCCUUUGGCAUGCUUGAACAAUAUCAGACACUGGCAAAUAGUCACUGCCUCGAACUUCCUAUCAUCACCAAUAAAGUUAACGAUUCAACCUAACACUGAAGGAAGGGGAAAUUUUCUUUUCAGGAAUAGGCAUACCUUGCUAAAGUAUCGGUUUAGCAAUAUUUCUUUAACCACCCCACACAUGCCGUAAAAGUAGAGUAAAUUUGACAUGACCUGCAAUUAUUAGUCUUUAGCAAAAGGUGGUAUCUCAUAAAGAGACAAAGGUUCUCAUGUUUAGAAAAAGAACCUUAUUGUACAGCCAUUCAGUCCAAGAUGGUGCUUUACAUAAUGGGGAAACAAGUAUCAAACCAAGAACACGAUGUCUAUAUUUCACCUGUUGUUAAAGUAAGAAAUAUCUGUGAGAUCCCAUUCAGCCAUUUAAGAAUGGUAAAAAGAAAGGAGACAGUGCGACAUAUACAAAGACUCACAGCAAAUAAGGCAAGAAUGUAAGCCCCAGCAGUUACUCCCAUACACAUCACUGCACUCUGACUGCAAAGGAGAGAAGGGAAAUAUAUUAGAUUGCCUUCUCAAGAUCAAGGAGACGCGAUCAGUUGCACAAGUUAUAAACCCGUCACUUUUAAUGCAAAACGGAAGGAUAUUUCAGUUGCAAAUAUAGUAAAUUAAAAGAAAAAAAGCAAAUAUUUCAAAUUGAAGUCAAAUUGAAAUUGAUCUAACAUUUAUCUUCAUGCUACAUAAUGGGAGUGGAGCUGGAAAGGAUGGUUUUAGGGAAUAAGACCCUUGUUUAGGAGUUAAAGGUUUCCAGAGAGUAAGAGAUUGCGAAGGAAACGGCAUAGUUUCUAUACUGGAUAAUUUACAUUCACUAUAGCAACUCAUAACUGGGUUACUUGGAAAUAAAGGUUUUACUGAAAUUAUAAAUUUUCAACAAUAGGGAACGAAUCUGUUUCUAUUUCAUAUUUAGUUCCAUACCCUAUCUUUCCAUUUGAUUUCACUCCAUUAGCUCUAAAACUUUAUACAAUGAACUAAAUGGAAAGAAAUAGUCAGUGAGCUGAAACAUACCCAAAAUAAUUAAGAACUUCGGCUAUUUGAUCAGCUAAGUCGUCAGCAGAAAGAAUUGGACCGUCUGGAUCAAUGGCAGCAGCUCCCAACUGCAAUAAUUCACGAAAAGGUAUAAAAUGAUAAGAAGCUAAAUUAAAAAUAUUUAAAAAUCAGUGGGGAUAAGUAGCAAGAAACAGCCUAUUACAGUUUCAAGAAAUAAAGUUAGAGACCUCAUGCCCAGGUGGACUAAUAUGAUAGAUGCAGAAAUUGUGAAGCAGUAACGAACAGGCUUCUGGACAAAAUAACAACCCUUGAAAGCAGGAAACAUCUGAUGAAAUCACAUGCAAGAAAAUGGUUAGAUUGUUGAUUUGUCAACUAGACAAACAUGGACAAACUUCAUGAGCAUUUCUAAGAGAAAAAAAUAAGAAAAAUUAAAAAAAGUUAUUGUAUAAAUUAAAAUUAGUUUACUGGCAUUCUUUAAUUUGUAAAAACCCUUUUAUAUAGCUUCUAUGAUUUUUUACUUUAUUUUUAACUGGUGCAAAAGUUAAUUUUAGCUUAUAAAGAAGUUUUUUUUUCUUAUUUUUCUUUUUUAGAAGUGUUUAAGAAAAAACUAGAGGCUCAAUGUUAGCAAAGACAUAAAACAUCACUUUAUAUUACAACAUUUUGUGUAUAAAACUUUAUUUUUUUAUUUUUUUUAUAACUAUUAUAUUGGUAAAUCACAGGGCCCCUUCCUUGCUUACUGAACACAAACCACUGUAAUUUAUGAGAUUGCAUGUGAGCUUCUAAGAGAAAACUAGUAACACCAUAAUUUAAUUACACAAACUACCAUUAUUCCAAUACCACAUCAUUGAAUCUCUACUUAAAUGUAAAGAGACAUAUCUCAACCUAUUGAUUAAAACAAAUAUAUGAAUGAGAAUAAUUUUUUUGGUUAUAUAUAUAUAUAUAUAUAUAUAUAUAUAUAUAUAUAUAUAUAUAUUACUUUUGGGAAUAUAUGCAUAACCACACCAAUUAAGAAAUAAAAAAGAUUUUGUAAAUCACGUGGGAAUUCAUUAAAAAAUAAUAAAGAAAUGUACUUUAAUGCAUAUUAAUGAAUAAAAAUUAAUUUUUUAGUCAAUGCCUCACAUAGUAAGAGGAAUUAAGUUAUUAUAAGAGUACAGUCAUUACCUUUUAUUUUCUUUAAUAUGAUAUUUCUAAUAAAUUAUAUGAAAUAAUUAAAUUAAGAAAAGAAAAAGGGGUUGAGAAUAGUAGUAACUCUUUCAAAGCUACUCAUAACUUAACCCCUUUCAUAUACACACAUACACAGGUUUUAAAAAAAACUAAAAAGUAAUAUUAAAUAAAGCAUGUUUCAUGAAAUAAAGUAAAAUUAAAUAAAAAAACAAAAUCAUGUAAUAGAUGUUUUUUUUUUUGGUAAAUAUAACCAUGCAAUAAAGUAUAUUGGAACGGCCUUAAUCACGCCCCACGAGUACUCAUUAGCUAAAAUCAUCCUAUGGAAAAAGUUUUAUGAUACCUACAAUUUAAAGCUAAAUCAGGAUACGUGAUCAGCGCUGGUUUGUCCUGGUCCCCAUACACAGCAACAGAGACGCAACCAGAGCGAGUUCUUACAACAUGUUCCUGCAAAAAAGACUAGCUCAUUAAUCUGGAACAGCGCAUAAAAAUACCCAGAACCACAUAAGAAUAUGAUAAAACACCUCCUUCGUGUUUUAACAGCAAGAGGAAGGGUCAAAAACCACACAGGCAACAGAAGUAUGUAAAUCUUCUGGUUUUUCAGGGGUGCCCAUUCACUUUGAAAAAAAAAAAAAAACAAAACAAAACCAACAAAAAUGUGCAAAUCUUUGCAGACUGACACUGCAAGUUUAAAAAAAAAAAAAGUAUAUCAAUCUGCACCUGCCAGAAUCCUAUCGGUGAUAGCUAUUAAGACAAUUAAAAAAAUUAAAAUCAAAUCCAAUUUGUUUAAUUCAUGGAAAUCAUGCAGCAAAAGAAAAAAAUCUUCAUUCACUAUCUGGAAAGCUUUAAAAAUUCCAUUAUGGCAUAAUAGAAUUCAAGUGAGUUUCUGAAGCAAUGCAACAACAUUAUGAAACUCAGAGGAAGAAGUUUUUAAUUAAUCAAGCUAUGAAGAAACAAAAAUGAGUUAAAAAAGCCAGAAUGAAAACAAGAAUUGAGUUAAAGUGCGUGCCAUGAAAUGAAAUGGUUGUUUGUGAGUGUUAAUAUGAGCGUAAGUUAGUUACCUCGGGUGGAAGAGAAAUGGCUUCCAUGUCCACCGACACCGAAUCUGCCAUUUCACUCUCAAUAGCGUCGUGAAUGUGUAACCACUCACACUCCAUUUGUUUUUCUCUCCUAAUUCUUGCUUUUAUAGGUAGUUCUCAGCACUAGCAUGCGUCAAUUUCUCUCUCUUUCUCUCUCCAUUUUCUGCUGGUCUCGCACGAGUCACCGACGCUCAUCCCCGUGCCAAAUUCAAUUCAAGCCACACCAGCUCUCUGCAUUAAUACUCCUUUACUUAACCCACAUUCUGCUUCGCUUAACCAUGGUUCCCAAGCCGACACUUUUUCCUUCACAUUUUUUAUCACUCUCUUUUUAAAUAUUAAUGACUAACAUAUUUCUUUUUCAUUAAAAUUGCCACUGUCAAGUGCAAACGGAUCAGUUUUAGAUUUUUAAUUUCCUUUUUCUUGUAUCUCAGCCUCUAAAUUACUUUUCUUUUCAACAUCUUCCAUUAAAUGAAUAUUUUCAAAUAUAAAAAUACAUAUAACCACUUGUUUCAUAAAAUUUCGGUAAACAUUUUUAUAAAACAAUAUAUAGGUAUAAUUUAACGAUUAACUUUAUAAAAAUCGUGUUAUAUAUAUGUGAAAUUAUUGACAUAAAGUCCGUUGUCUGCAGUUAUUGGUAAAAAUCAGGUGCAUUUUUUUAAUAACAGAAUGAUAUACAUUAUGAACAUAUUAUUACAUUCCAUACAGAGCAUAGGACAUGAGGCUUGGGUUGGUUAUUAUAAGUCUAAAUAAAUAUAACUUAGUACACAUACAUAGAAAUGUGUUAAUUAAAAUUUAUUGUUAAUAUUAUAUUAUUUUAGAGCAUAAAUUAAUUCCAUUUAUUAUAAAAUGUAUCUUACACUGUUAUACCCUGUAUAAUGCAUGAAAUUAAAUUAAUUACACUGAAAUUAGCGCCUCCAUCCUUCAUGGGAAAAAACAAGCUAAUUUUUACAUUAGGAUAAAAGUAACAAAAAAUAUAUAUUGAAAUAAGUAUUUACGGUAUGAAAAUAUAAAACUUUUACAAUUUCAGAACAUUAAAGAUAACUCUUAAUUGAGGUUUUAAACUCGUUAUUCUGUAAAUAUUUCUUUUACAAAUUGAGUAUAUAAAAUUGUUAAAAUGAUAGCGAGUAUCCAUAAAAGUUAUAUCACUGGUUAAAAAAUAAUAUAAACAAAAUUUAAGAUGAAUAUAAUAUUUUAACGAGGAGAAUUUGAUCAAUCUCUCUUAUUUAUCCUUGUGAACUUAAGUAUAUACAUAAAGUAAAUCAGAAGUUUAUAACUUAAAUUUCAUUUUGAAGUUCUUAUAAUUUAUUUUUCCUCUUUGUUGAAAUUUUUAAACUGUUUGAAUUCUAGUUUAUGUAAAAUCGGUUAUAAUGUUGAUAAAUUUAUUCCGUGUGUAUUUCGAAUAAUUUAUGUGGAUUUUUUUUUAUAUAUUUUACAAUUAACGUAUUAGUUUAGAGAUUAAUUUAUCCAAUUAUUAUACUAAUAUAACCAAAACAUUACAUUAAUUUAACUAACGUGUCGUGUUCUUGAAAGAAAAAAAAAAGGUCUUGUGUCUCAUAUUUUUAGCAUGUGAUACAAUUAGUACAAUGUCUCAGUCGAGACCUAACCAAAAGUUUAAAUUAUUUAAUCAAUUAUUUUAACUUGCUUAAACAAACAGUUUGGGUACACAUGCACAAGUAUGUUUAUAAUUGUUUUUUUACAUUAUUAUAAGAUUAAUGAUAAUUAAGAAAUUUAGAAACUUCUAAUUGGUUAUGUAGUGUUUUGAUCUAUUGCCAUGAAUAUAUUAAUUGAUUCAAAUGAAUUUAAUAGUUAUCCUAAUUUAAUCAAAAUAUUACAUCAGUUAAAUAAAUGUAUUGUGUUUUAAAAAAUAAAUAAAAGCUAAGUGAAGUUUUAGAAUGGGUUCACACCACUUUAAUACAUUCCUUUAUCAUUUGAGAUAAGUACAUAAUGUCAGUAUUUUGAAACUCUUAGCAUUGUUCUUCUUUUCAAUUUCAUUUUCUUUUAGGAUGAAAAGAAUACAGAUUAAGGAUUCUGUUAACAAUGUUUUUAAGGUAUUAGUCAAGAAGUUUAAAAAAAUGAUUAAAAGUUACAGAAUAGUUCAUUAAAAUAAUAUAAAAUAAAUAUUUUUACAUGUCUCAGUAAAAUCUUAUAACUUAUUUAUUGUGUUUUAUUUUAUAUAUUGUAGUGAAAAUAUAUUUGUCUAUGUAUGGGUAUACAUUUUGUUUUAUAAUAACAAAAUAUAGGAAAUGUAAAAAAUUAUUUUAAUCAUAAUUUUGUUUCUGGCGUAAUGUUUAUGGUGAACAUUAACCAUAUAGCUAGUACCAUAGAAUUGAAAGGUGUAAUGUUUUUGGUGUAGUUCACCAGGGAUUUUUUUUUAUUUUAUUUUUAUGAAUAAGCAGUGUCUUUAUAACAGAAUGACAAGUGUGAUUUAUUUGUCCGAAGAAGAGGAAGCACAAGUCAUCAUCAGUACCUUCAAACAUUUCCAGUGCAAAAGGAGAAAGCAGUAACAGAAGAAAACAAAAACAGUGUUGCAUGGGAUUUGUCUACAAAAUAUAUAAAAUCUUCCAAAAAACAAAACACCAUUCAUAAUUGAGAAAGAAGUGAUUAAUAACUAUAGAGAAUUCCAAGAGCGUGGUGCCGAUCUCGGAGCAAGGAGAUUCAGAGAUUGCAAAUUUCAAUGCCAUUUAUUAAAACUCAAUCCCGAGAUGUCACUGCCCCAUCUACACCUGCUUCUUGAAGACCACUUGUUACUAAUAAUUCUCACAAAUUUUCCUAGCUUAAUUGCAUUCAUUCUUUAAUUCCUUUUCUCUCAUAAUUGCAAUUUUGAACUUAGGGUUCGUGUGAUCGGAGAUAAAUUUUGAACUUGGAGAAGAUAAGAAAGAUAGAAGAGUUCAUCAUUAAUAAAGGAAUAUCUUUAUUUUGCAUAAUCAGAAACUGUUAUCCUAAACCAAAAUUCAAGUAAGUUAGAAGUGAACUUACUUGUGUACCGGCACAUGGUUGAAAAGAAAAUAAAAUAAAAAUGUGGGAGAGAAAGAACCAAAGAACAUUGUGCAGACUUUGGUAUAUAAAACAUAUAAUUGGGCUGGGCUCACUCGAAAGAAAAGACCUUAAUGACCUCGUUUGAUUUUGUUCAAUGGGUGUUGUUCCCUCCACUUUUACUUUGUUCCUCUACCUCCUCAAUUUUUGUUCUUUUUCAAAAUUACCUUAGGUUAAAAUUUUGUUACUUUUACAUUUACUUUUAUAUAAAAUUUUAUUUCUUACCCCUUUUACCCAAUUGCGCAGCACACCUCAUCCCAUUCCCACUAUCUCAUUUCUUUUCUCUUUCUCAUUUCUCUCUUCUCAUUCCUCUUCUUUCAUUUCAUCUUUUCUCCUUCCAUUUCCGUUUCUUCCAUUACUUCCAUUUUCUUGCUUACUUGGUUUUAAGUUCCAUUUCAUUGCUUCCAUUGAGUUAGGUAUUUGGUUUGUGUUGUGGAAGAAUGUGCUUGGUAGUUUGCAGAUGGAGUAGGUCACGACGCGUGAUGCAUAUUCGAACUGUGAAACUUCCCGUUAAGUUAUUCAUGGCCACAGAGUAACUGGAUAGAGAAGGGAAUAUCAAAAGCAAAUCCUUAUGUUUAUUUGCUUGAGAAAGGCUUUACUUAAUUGUGCAAAUUAUACAGGUAAUACAAGAUAUUUGUUUAGCCAUAACAGUCACUGGGUUGCCAUCAUUUCCUCCAAGGGAACUGGUCAUAUUUUUGUUCUUGCUUCAUUUGGUGGAUAGACAAUUCUUAAGAUGCACGAUCAAGACACAGAUGAGCCUGCUCUUUUGCCAGUUUUUCCUCUACCAUGGUGGUUCACUCCACAUUUCAUAGUAAAUCAGCAGCAAUUGAGCUUGACACCCCCACCUCCUGUUGUUCUUUUAGUGGUUAGCAGAAUAAAGAAUAGUAAUGUCGGAUGGCUCAAUACAAUUAGUAGCGCGACAUCUUUUGCAACAAGGAAAGUUCCAAUUCCAUCUAGUGUUGAGGAGGUGGUGGGAGCAAAUGGGGAGGUGGAGGGAGCAAGUUACAUGUUGCAAGUUAUAGGUUUCUCUCAGCACCCCCAACUUUUUCAACCUUCAACCUGUAAUCUGGAACCUGUAACCUGCAACGACUAACAUCUUAGAUUUUACCUGUAACCUGUAAAUUGUAACUUCUAACCUAUAACUUGUAUCCUAUAACCUGUAACCUGUAACCUGUAACAUGUUACAUGUUACCUGUAACCUAUAACCUGUAACAUGUAACAUGUAACCUCCAACCUGUAACUUGUAACAUAUAACCUAUAACCUAUAACUUGCAACCUGUAACUUGUAACAUGUAACAUGUAACUUGUAACCUCCAACUUGCAACCUAUAAUCUCUAACAUGUAACUUGAAACCUCCAACCAAUAACUUGCAACCUAUAACAUGUAAUAUGUAACCUGCAAUCUGCAACCUGCAACCUGUAGACUGUAACCUGCAACCUGCAACCUGUAACCUGUGACCAGUAACAUGUAACCUGUAACAUGAAAUAUGUAACCUGAAACCUGUACCUACAACCUGGAACCUGUUACUUAUAACCUGUAACCUGCAACCUACAACCUACAACUUGGAACCUGGAACCUGGAACCUGGAACCUAGAACCUACAACCCGCAACCACCAACCUCCAACCUGGAAUCUGGAACCUGUAACGUGUAACAUGUAACCUGCAACUUGUAACCUCCAACAUGUAUCGUGCAAACUGUAACCUGCAACCUGUAACCUACAACCGAUAACCUGUAAUCUGCAACCUGUAACCUGUAACCUGUAACCUGCAACCUGUAACUUACAACCUGCAACAAAUAACAUCUUAGCUUUUACCUGUAACCUGUAACAUGAAACCUAUAACUUGUAACUUCUAACCUGUAACCUGUAACUUGUAACAUGUAACUUUUAACCUGUAACCUAUAACAUCUAACCUCCAACCUAGAACCUGCAACUUGGACUGCAUCCUGCAACUUGGAACUAGUAACCUGCAACCAACAACCUGUAACCUGCAACCUGUAACCUGUAACCUAGAGCCUGUAACCUGCAAUCUGUAACCUCCAACUUGUAACCUCCAACAUGUAACAUGUAACUUGUCAUCUUCAACUUGUAAUGUGAACUAUAACCUAUAACCUAUAACAGGUAACUUGACUCUUGUAACUUCUAACAUGUAACCUAUAACCUUUAACUCGAACCAAUAACCUGCAACCUGUAAUCCGUAACAUGUAACCUGCAACCUGUAACCUGUAACCUAGAGCCUGUAACCUGCAAUCUGUAACCUCCAACUUGUAACCUCCAACAUGUAACAUGUAACUUGUCAUCUUCAACUUGUAAUGUGAACUAUAACCUAUAACCUAUAACAGGUAACUUGACUCUUGUAACUUCUAACAUGUAACCUAUAACCUUUAACUCGAACCAAUAACCUGCAACCUGUAAUCCGUAACAUGUAACCUGCAACCUGUAACCUGUAAUCUUUAAUCUGUAACCUGUAACCCGUAACCCGUAACCUGAAACCUGGAACUAGGAACCUGGAGCCUACAACCUGCAACCUGUAACAGGCAACCUGUAACCUACAACAUACAACCUACAACCUAGAACCUGGAACCUGAAACCUGCAACAUACAACCUGGAACCUGGAAGUUGUAACCUAUAACCUGUAACCUGCAACCUGCAACCUGUAACCUGUAACCUGUAACCUGUAACCUGUAACCCGCAACCUGUAACCUGUAACUUAUAACCUGCAACCUGUAACCUGCAACGAGUAACAUCUUUGAUUUUACCUGUAAUCUGUAACCUGUAACCUGUAACACGUAACUUGUAACCUAUAACCUGCAACCUGCAACCUGCAAUCUGCAACAUGUAACUAGCAACUUCCAACCUGUAACCUGCAACCUGUAACCUGUGACCUAUAACCUGCAACCUGCAACCUGUAACCUGUACCCAUUAACAUGUUAGCUUUUACCUAUGACCUGUAACCUGUAACGUGUGACCUUUAACCUGUAACAUGUAAAUUGUAACCUAUAACCUGUAACCUGUAACCUGUAACAUGUAAACUGAAACCUGGAACCUACAAUGUGUAACUUGUAACAUGUAACCUGUAACUUGCAACCUCUAAGUUGCAACCUGUAACUUGUAACAUGUAACAUGUAAUUUGUAACUUGCAACUUGAAACCUAUAAUCUGCAACGUGUAACUUGCAACCUCCAACCAAUAAAAUGCAACCUGUAACAUGUAACCUGCAACCUGCAACCUAUAACCUGUAACAUGUAAUUUGCAACCUGCAACCUGUAACCUGCAACUUGCAACCUAUAACCUGCAACCUGCAACCUGCAACCUGCAACCUGCAACCUGUAACCUGUAACUUGUAACCUGUAACCUGUAACCUGUAACCUGUAACUUGUAGGCUAUAACCUGUUACCUGUAACCUAGAACCAGAAACCUAUAACUUGGAACCUGGAUCCUGAAACCUGCAACCUGAAACCUUCAACCUGCAAUCUGUAAACUGUAAACUAUAACCUACAACGUACAACCUAAAACCUGGAACUUGGAACCUGCAACCUGGAAUCUGCAACCUGCAUCCUGCAACCUACAACCUGCAACCAACAACCUAUAUCCUGCAACCUAUAACCUGUAACUUGUAACCUGUAACCUAUAACCUGCAACAUGUAACUUACAACCUGCAACCUGUAACCUACAACGAGUAACAUGUUAGCUUUUACCUGUAACCUGUAACCUCUAACUUGUAACCUGUAACCUAUAAGAUGGAACCUGUAACUUGUAACUUGUAACAUGUAACCUCCAACCUGUAACAUGUAACUUGUAAUCUUCAGCCUGUAAUGUGAACUAUAAACUAUAACCUAUAACAGGUAAUCUGCAACUCGUAACCUGCAACCUAUAACUUCUAAUCUGUAACCUGUAACAUAUAAUUUGUAACCUAUAACUUUUAACCUGUAACCUGUAGCUUGUAACUUGUAACUUUUAACCUGUAACCUAUAACAUCUAACCUGCAACCUAGAACUUGUAACCUGGAACCUACAACCUGCAACCUGCAUACAACCUGCAACCAGCAACUUGUAACCUGCAACCUAUAACCUGUAACCUAUAACCUGUAACCUGUAACCUGCAGCCUGUAACCUCCAACCUCUAACAUGUAACUUGUAAUCUUCAACCUGUAAUGUGAAUUGUAACCUAUAACCUAUAACAAGUAACCUGCAACUUGUAACCUGAAACCUGUAACUUCUAACAUAUAACCUAUAACCUGUAACUUGCAACCUGUAACAUGUAAUAUGUAACUUGUAACCUGCAAUUUGCAACCUAUAAUCUGCAACAUGUAACUUGCAACCUCCAACCAAUAACCUGCAACCUGUAACAUGUAACCUGCAACCUAUAACCUGCAACCUGUAACCUGCAACCUGCAACCUUUAACCUAUAACCCGUAACCUCAAACUUGGAACCCGAAACCUGGAACUAGGAACCUGGAGGAUGGAACCUGCAACCUGUAACCUGUAACAUGUAACUUGUAACCUACAACAUACAACUUAGAACCUGGAACCUGGAACCUAGAACUUGGAACCUGGAACCUGGAACCUGCAACCUUGAACUUGGAAGUUGUAACUUGUAACCUUAAACCUGAAACUUGCAACCUGUAACAUGUAACAUCUAACCUGCAACUGUAACCUGUAACCUGUAACCUGUAAUCUGCAACCUGUAACUUACAACCUGCAACCUGCAACCUGCAACCUGCAACCUGCAACCUGUAACCUUUUCCGUGACCUACAACGAGUAACAUAUUAGAUUUUACCUGUAACCUGUAUACUGUAACCUGUAACAUGUUACGUGUAACAUGUAACAUGUAACCUGUAACCUGUAACGUGUAACAUGUAACAUGUAACCUCCAACCUGUAACUUGUAACACGUAACAUGUAACCUCAAACUUGCAACCUAUAAUCUGCAACAUGUAACUUGAAACCUCCAACCAAUAACCUGCAACCUAUAACAUGUAAUCUGGAACCUGCAACCUGUAACCUGCAAACUGUAACUUGCAACCUGUAACCUGUAACCUAUAACAUGUAACCUGUAACCUGUAACCUCAACCUGUAACCUGCAACAUACAACGUACAACUUACAACCUGAAACUUGGAACCUGGAAACUGCAACCUGUAACCUGGAACCUGCAACCCGCAACCACCAACCUCCAACCUCCAACCUGGAACCUGGAACCUGUAACGUGUAAUGUGUAACCUGCAACUUGUAUCCUCCAACAUGUGUCGUGUAACCUGUAACCUGUAACCUGCAACCUGCAACCUGUAACCUGCAACCUACAACCUGCAACCUAUAACCUGCAACCUUAACCUGUAACUUGCAACCUGUAACUUACAACAUGCAACAAGUAACAUCUUAGUUUUUACCGGUAACCUGUAACAUAUAACCUCUAACUUGUAACCUGUAACAUGUAACCUGUAACCUGUAACAUGUAACCUGUAACCUGUAACCUGUAACUUCUAACCUGUAACCUGUAACUUCUAACCUGUAACCUGUAACUUGUAAUAUGUAACUUUUAACCUGUAACCUAUAACAUCUAACCUGGAACCUACAACCUGCAUCCUGCAACAUGCAACCAGCAACCUACAACCAACAACCUGUAACCUGUAACCUAUAACCUGUAACCUGUAACCUCAACUUAUAACCUCCAACCCGUAACAUGUAACUUGUAAUCUUCAACCUGUAAUGUGAACUGUAACCUAUAACCUAUAACCUAUAACAGGUAACCUGCAACUUGUAACCUGCAACUUGUAACUUCUAACAUGUAACCUAUAACCUUUAACUUGCAACCUGUAACAUGUAACAUGAAACUUGUAAUCUACAACUUGUAACCUAUAAUCUGCAACAUGUAACUUGCAACCUCCAACCAAUAACCUGCAACCUGUAACCCGUAACAUGUAACCUGCAACUGUAAUCUGUAACUCGUAACCCGUAACUUGGAACCUGGAACCUGAAACCUGGAACUAGGAACCUGAAGUCUGGAACCUGCAACCUGCAACCUGCAACAUGCAACCUACAACAUACAACCUACAACCUGGAACCUGGAACUUGGAACCUGGAACCCGAAACCUACAACCUGUAACCUGGAACCUGGAAGUUGUAACAUGUAACCUAUAACCUGCAACCUGUAACCUACAACGAGUAACAUCUUAGAUUUUACCUGUAACCUGUAAAUUGUAACCUGUAACCUAUAACUGUAACCUGUAACUUGUAACCUGUAACAUGUACCCUGUAACCUGUAACAUGUAACCUGUAACUUGUAACAUGUAACAUGUAACCUCAAAUCUGUAACCUCCAACCUGUAACUUGUAACAUGUAAUCUAUAACCUAUAACUUGCAACCNAACCUGUAACUUGUAACAUGUAACAUGUAACCUCAAAUCUGUAACCUCCAACCUGUAACUUGUAACAUGUAAUCUAUAACCUAUAACUUGCAACCUGUAACUUGUAACAUGUAACAUGUAACUUGUAACCUCAAACUUAUAACCUAUAAUCUGUAACAUAUAACUUGCAACCUCCAAUCAAUAACCUGCAUCCAUAACUUGCUCCCUCUACAAAUUUCUCUCAGCACCCCAACUUUUUCAUAUCCCUAAAUUACUCCUAACAACUUUUAGGUUUUGACUUUUACUAUGAUCUAAACUCCUAUGUAGAGUGUUACAAAAUGAAACUCUCUUUUUGGCUCAACCUUCACCUACAUUCUUUCUUUUGUACUUACAAACAUAAGAUUUUGAAAUCUAGUAAAAAAAAACUCAACACAUAAUUGAAUUUUCAAAUUCAAUAAACAAAAAUAGUUAUAUGAACAAAAGAAUUUAAAAUUAGAUUUUCUGAUUUUUAAAAAUUCAAAAUCAUAUUUCAUUUGAGAAAAUUAAAAAUCAGAUUUCAGAUAUAAUUUCUCAAAAUCCAUAUCCAGAUUUAGAAAAGUAAUAAAAUCUACGACUGAAUUUUGAAAUUCAAAAAUAUUUCCAACCAUAUUUCAAAAAUUAAUUUAAAAACAAAUUAAGAAUUAGAUUUCGAAAUGUAAUUUUCAAAAAUCUACAAUCGAAUUUAGAAAUGCGAAAAAAAUCUAAAAAUAAAUUUUAAAAUCCAAAAAAAUCCACUGGUAAAUAUUGAAAUACAGUAAAAUUCAAAAUUAGAUUUCAAAAUCUAGAAAAAUAAUAAUUUUAAAAUACCAAAUUUCAAAAUAUAAUAAAAUCGAAAAUCACAUUUCCAAAUUCGAGAAAAUAAAUUUCAAAAUUUAUAUUUUAAAAAUCAAGAACUAAAUUAUGAAAUUCAAAUAAAAUUUUAGAAUUGGAUUUUAAAAUGUGAAAAAAAUCAAGAAAUAAAUUUUAAAAUAAAAUUUUGAAAUGUGGAAAAUUCAGAACCAAAUGUCUAAAUCUUAUUUUUGAAAAUCUAAAAUCAGAUUUCAAAAUCUGAAAAAAAUCAAAUUAGAUUUUAAAAUUAAAAAAAAAUCCAAAACUCAUCAAUAUCUUUUUUAUAUGCCUCAACUCAAUGUGAUAAAAAUGUUAAAAAAUUCAUCUUAAUUAAUUAUAAAACUAAUUCAUAGUGUAUAACAAACUUCAAAAUUCCAAAUUCCUAGCUAAACUUUCAUUACUCUAAGUAAUGACUACUUAUUUUUCUUACAAAAAGUAUUUAUAUACACUUUUCAUACAAAAUGCAUGUAAAUUGAGGAUAAGUAAGAGUCGUCCUAGAAUAAACCAGGUUUAGUACUUUUACUUUUUUAUGUGAUUUUUUUUAGUUUUCUAUAUCAAUAUUUUUGUUUUAUUUUAAUUUUGAAAAUGCAGUAAAUAGUUAUUAAAUUACAUUUUGUAGCAAGUUCGUGACUGUAAUUAUUAUUUUAUGAGUAUAAUAUGUUUUCUUUAAUCUCCCAUGUUGAAAGUGACGAAAAACUUCAAAUAAUUGAGCUUAAACAAAAUUAAAAAGAAUCAGGUUUAAUACGGUCCUCGUAUUUGUGUGAAAAUCUCAGUUCGGUCCUAAAGUUUUGAACUGUCUCAAUUAGGUCAUAAUUUUUGUAAAAAUACACACAUUUUACCCCAACUAUUAACUUAUCUCAAACAACGUUAAGUUUAGCUGUUGUGAUUUUCAUACAAAUACGAAGACCAAGAAGGGAUUAAGCCAACACGUCAGCAUAUCACAACAGCUAAACUUAACGCCGUAUGAGAUCAGUUAACGGUUGGGGUAAAAUAUGUGCAUUUUUACAAAAAUUAUGACCCAAUUGAGACAGUUCAAACGAACUGAGAUUUUCACACAAAUACGAGGACCAAGAGAGGUAUUAAGCCAAAAAAUUAGAAUGAUAUAAAUAAAUUACGAGACAGAAAUAAAGAAAAUAAAAAGUAAGAAUUAAAAAAUAGUUUAAAAAGGCAAUUAACCAAGUAAAUCACAUUUAUUUGUACGAAUGAAGUAGUAAGAAGUAAAAUUAUUGAAUUUCUCUUAAGAAGUAGUGAAUUUGAAUGGUUAUUUAAUAAUUUAAUAAAUGAAAUAAUAGUAAUUUGGAAGAAAAAGGUAAGGAAUGAAGCUGAAAUGGGCCACGUAGUAGCCUUGGUAGGCAGUUUCGUCAACGAUGUCUCUACCGUUUUCUAAAAAAUAGAAAAAGGUUUGGCUGGAGCGUGGUCAGGGAUAAAUAGAGAGAGUCGUGAAGGCUGGGUGAGAUUCAUUCGCUCGUAGCAACAUCACUAUGGCUCUUCUCAGUCGAGCCUCCUCACGCAUCUAUCAAGUGCACUCCUAUCAACGGGCGUUAUCCCUCCACACGACGCUCCCAGCUCUCAACGCAUCCACAUCUACACACACGCCCACACCAUAUGCUCCGCCACCGCCUCCGUCCGCUUCAUCUCCCGUCGGCGUUUCCAAGGCGGCGGAGUUCGUCAUCUCCAAGGUCGAUGAUCUGAUGAACUGGGCUCGCCGUGGCUCCAUCUGGCCUAUGACCUUCGGACUCGCCUGCUGCGCCGUCGAAAUGAUGCACACCGGCGCCGCCCGCUAUGAUCUCGAUCGCUUCGGCAUCAUUUUCAGGCCCAGUCCUCGCCAGUCUGACUGUAUGAUCGUCGCUGGCACUCUCACCAACAAGAUGGCUCCCGCUCUUCGCAAGUAAAUCCUCUAUCCCUUUUUUUAGGGUUUUUACUUCCCUAAUCUCUUUUCCUCUUUGUUCCUUCUCACAGUUGAUUACAAAUCAUAUUCCUCACCCGAUGCACUGAUUUGCUCUGUGCGUGACAUAUGUGCGUGGUUGAGUAUUCAAUUUGACUUGAUAUGGCGUCGAUGCCGUCGCGUCUUUGUUUGAAUGCUGUUAUAUAUACGUUGGAGAAUUUUAAAGAUAAAUUGUGUUCGGUGUUCAAGAAGGCAGAUGCCUGUUAUUUGAGAAUUUCUGUGACUAAAUUGCAUUUCGGGGAUAUUUAAUCUGGUCAAUGAUUAUGUGUUUUGUCUUUGUUAUGACGUAAGUGUACAUGGGUUAGGACUGACUGUGAAGCAGUCAGUACAGUAGAUAUAUAAAUCAUAGUUAGCUAUUGUAAAAAUAUUCAUACUGAACAAUAACAAACAUACAUGUAUUCUGCCACUUCUUCUAUCAGUUCCGGAAUCCCUUCAUUCUGGGGUUUCCUGAUUUCUUGUUUGGCUUUCUCUCUAUUGCCCUAGAACUAUGUUUUCUCGUAACAGGCUGUUUUAAUUGACUCUUGUUUUGGUGUUGUAGCCUUGUUUUUUUUUUUUUUGAUUCAGUGUUGAUAGGAAACUGCUACGAGGACACUGUUUUAACGAAAUUUUUUUGUUGAGUUAGAGACAGUAUAGGGAAAUGACACACUAGCUGCAGUUUGUAAACUCUUUAAGGGGCUUGCUUUCUACCGUCCCAUUCCUCACUACAAUCCUGCCUCCACCUGGCAUGUGCACAGGUUGUUGGUUGUUUCAAACUUAUAAUCCAUAUCCUCAGACUGAUUUCCUAUUUACAUUUCUUUGCCUCAUUGCUUCCACUUGCUUCUAAUUCCUUGCCACCCUUGCCUUUCCUCGUAACGACACCUAACUAAUAGGUCAUGGCUAAUACAGUUCUCUUCGUGAUUAAAUGUUGUUAUAGAAAUCACUUUGAUUGAAUGAUACGGCAUGUGAAAAGAGGUUCUUAUGGGGAUAAUAGUUGUCUUGCAUUGGAUGAGAGGUGUGAACAGUUAUGUCAUUUAACUACAAAGUAUAGCAAUGGUUUUAAGUUGCUUUAGUUUUAGAAAAGGUGUAGAAGAGUAUGCCAGUUUCACUUGUUAAAUUUUCUACUAUGUUAUAGUACAUAUUGUUGGUUGCUCAUCAUUAUCUAUUACUAUGUCAUGAUGAGAUUCGGUAAGCUACUUAAUUGAGCGCUAAUUCUAUAAGAUUUUAUCAUCGAGGACUUAAUUUUGUUUUUCAGAAGCUGGGAAUUUUUUUAGGGAGUACAAACCUAAGCUAGAUCAUAAGAAUCCAAAAUAGGCAUCAUUUGGGCUAGAGCCUCUUCCAGCUAACAUAUUCUAUGCAAUCGAGAAGCAAGAGAUACUAAUUUGCCUGUUACUCUAUCGGCACAUCUUCUGACCAGAAUGAGUGUAUUUGGGAGUCUGUCUGCAUGAGAUUAUUGCAAUCCUGAUCAGACAACCAAAGUAAGAAUCAUGAAACAUUUUCUCAAUGCAUGAAAAACAUCAUGCAUGACUGCCUGUUUCAAACACUACACGAGAACUUAUGUCAGAUUUUUUCAUUAAGUUAUUAGAAUAAGCUAAAAAAGGUUUGUGGGAGUUAUAAAUUGUUUUUAUAUGCUCAAGUAAACUCUGGAUAGGUUUUUCCGAAUAUCUCCCCACGUAAGUCUGUCUAGGAACAUUAGCCAGCUUGUUGUGCCACUUGUAAGACAACUGCUUUGUUUAUUUCAAUUGUCAAAAUCUUUUCUUUUGAGGUCUAAUUAUUCUCUACAAUCUUGAAGAACAUAAAUCAUAAUGUUGGCUGUUACGUCUGUUGUAAUGCCGCAUGCGCACUUGGUUGGGAUUUUUCUGUCAUUGAUCUUCAUGAAACAUUAUCAAUUUGAUUUUUGGGUCAUUUUUCUGUCUCCCCUUCCCUGUGAAAUUCCAUGUUCCGACAUUAUUAUUGCCUUGGAACUUUAUUGGUAUAUGACGCGGAAAAAUUCUGGCAGGGUUUAUGACCAAAUGCCUGAACCUAGAUGGGUCAUUUCAAUGGGAAGUUGUGCUAACGGUGGAGGAUAUUACCACUACUCUUACUCAGUGGUUCGGGGGUGUGACAGGAUUGUUCCUGUUGACAUAUAUGUUCCAGGCUGUCCUCCAACUGCUGAGGCUUUGCUGUAUGGACUCCUCCAGCUGCAGAAAAAGAUCAAUAGGCGCAAAGAUUUCCUCCAUUGGUGGACAAAGUAAGGUCGACUAAGCUUAUUUCUUGGCAGCCAAACUAUUUUACAAUAAGCAAAUUCAUGGUAUUGUAUUACCUUGCUAAGAAGUGCCCAUGUUAGAUGGAGAUUGUGUCGAUACAUUACCUUAUCACAGUUUCUGAAUGUUCUAUCUGCUCUUUUUAUAGGGGCUUCAUUCCCCUUAAGUUUUUUUAUCUGUUAAUGCUUCAUUUGUGUACCCGGGAGUAAACUAUAUGUGAAAAACUCAUGUUUGGUUUGUAAGUUACGGUUUUUACGUUGGACCAAUUCCCCUCUCCAAUGGUUCCUCAUGGUGUUCCUAUAAAUAACUUUCAUCCCUAACUUGUAUCUGCCACACUCUCUUUCCUCAAAGCUUUGACUUGUAGUUCUCAUUUCUAUUUUUCUCUAUAAUUUUCAAAGAAUGGAUAUGCUUUUUUAUAUAGGAUUUGUCAGAGGAAACUUCUUUCUAAAUCAACAAUGAUUUAUUUAAUGGAUUAUUUGUGGCUUAUAGUCGAUUUAGCAUAAAUGUUAAGGGUUUUUUCAGAGACAUAAUCAUUGUAAAAUAUUUAAGAUAAAAUUGAUCAUAUAAAAAUAUUUCAUUAAUAUUUGUAAUUAUUUAUGUUUUAAAAAUUAUAUUUUUAGUAUUUACGUCAAUUUAUAAUUAUUUAUGUUUUAACAUAAACAAAGACAUGGUAUAUUGUAUUGCUUAUUUUUAUUAAUAUUUAUAUUUAUAUACUAAAAUGACUCGUUAAAAUAAAAAAAAAUAAAACAAAUAAUUGAUAAUACAUAAUACACUUCCUUUUUCAUUUUUUUUUUACAUUUGUCUUUAAUCCAACAUAAUUUUGCUUUCAUUUUUUUUAAUACAAUCAUUUAAAUGUUAAUAAAAUACAUGUUUUUGUGAUGCCACCAUUACUUAUUUGGUUCAGUGAAGGAAAAUGAAACUAGAAAUGGCACGAUAAAAGAUAGGUAGAAUAAGAAAAAAGAAUGUUAAAAUAAAUCCUUCUUUCUUAAUUUUUUUAAAAAUUAUUUAUUUAAAAUCACCAUUUUUAAGUUUAAAUACUUUCGCUUAUAAAUUAACCAAACUUUGAAAGAAAAAUAGUGAAAUAAAUCAAAUAAACGUGCAUAAUUUAACUUAUUUUUAAUCCUUUAUUAUAUAUUUUAAGUUUUAUUUAUUAUUUUAAAAAAUAAUAUCAAUCGAAACCAUUUUUUUAUUGGAGUGUUUUGUUUAAAAUUUAAAAGUAUUUAACAGUAUAUCAUUCCUUCUCAACAUAAUAAACUCUAAAAAUUAGAAAAUACGCGUGAGCCUCGUUAUUAUUCACACUGUCCUGAGCUUUUUUUCAACAAACUUUAAACUACAAUAAAUAGUUUUUUUAAGCGUGUUAUAGUUUCUGUUUUACACUUCCAACUAAAUUAGUAUUUUACCGCGCGAAUUCCAUAAAAUAAAUAUUUUUAAAACUAUAUAAAAUAAUAUUAAUUUACAAUACAUUAAAGCUAAACAUUAUAAUAAAUAAUUAUUUUCGAAUAUUUGAAUUAUAUUUUACAUUUACAAUUAACUCCUGAAGUUAUAAUAUAAACUUAUUUUAUGUUUAUGAUAAAAACUGCUGAAUCUCAUAACACAAACAUAUUUUUAUAAAAAAGAAACCAUACUUUGAGUAAAUUGAUUUUUUAAAAUAGUUUUGAAAGUAAAGUGUAAAGUGAAAUUAUAUAUAAAAAAGAAAGAAAAUGUUAAAAAUGCCUAAUCGAAGGAGCGAAAUAAUGAAUAAUAAAUAUACUAAAAUUACGUGAAAAUAAAAUUUUUCUUUAAAUAUAGUUUCUUCUUAAAAGCAUGACGUAAAAAGACAUCUUGUGAUUUUGGUUGCAUAAACGAAGCAAAAUAUCUCGCUCUCUCCUACAGAGGUAACGCGAGUGACUAGGGUUUGUGCCAAUGGCGGAAGAAGCACAGUAUUCAUCGGGAACGGAGUCGGCAUCCCUCAAGCGCAAGUACGAAGACCAAUCCUCCGACAGACCCACCGGAUUCUCUGCGGGUCCCGCCACCGGCAUCGAGCUCGCCAAGCAGCGUGCUCAAGAAGUCGCCGCUCGCCUCCUCAGUGUCACUCCUCCUCCUCCGCUCGACGCCAAGCGUCCCAAACCCGAUAACGGUGCUCCUUCCUCCGGUUUCGAUUCUUACGGUAACUAACGAUUCCUCUCUGCUCCGCUCUUCUCGUUUAUGUUAGGGUUUUAUGAACUAUGAUUUCCGGGAACGUAGAUGCGAAGCCUCAGUACUCGGCCGUUCCCCCCGUCUCCUACAGUCACCAAGGAACGAGCAAGAAGAUUGAUAUCCCUAACGGCAGGGUUGGUGUGAUAAUUGGCAAAGGUGGAGAGACCAUUAAGUAUCUCCAGUUGCAGUCUGGUGCCAAAAUUCAAGUUACUCGCGAUAUGGACGCCGACCCUAAUUCUACUACCAGGACCGUUGAGCUUAUGGGCACUCCCGAGGCAAUCGCUUCUGCAGAGAAACUCAUUAAUGAAGUUCUUGCCGAGGUUAAACACAUUUUAUGCUUCUCAUUUUUUUUUUUCUGUCAAUCAUGGAUGGAUUAGAUUUCGUUUAUCACCGAUUUUGAUGUUACGAUAAUCUUACCAAGGAGAACUGUUUCCUAGUGAACUGCUUAAAUGUUUAAUUAUUGCAAUAUAUAUGGUUAUAACUAUUUUUGUACCAGGCUGAAUCUGGAGGUUCUGGCAUUGUUGCUCGAAGACUGACCGGACAAGCUGGGUCGGAUGAAUUUGUCAUGAGAAUUCCGAAUAAUAAGGUGUGAAAGGGAGAUUUAAGUGUAUGCUUUGUACAAUGUCAUGAGUGUUUCCCUUGUUCAGACUUGCGGUUUUUUUUUUUUUGUCUGUUUGGGUUGAUAUGUUUAUUGUGUGCAUCGUCAGGUUGGCCUUAUAAUUGGCAAAGGUGGAGAAACCAUAAAGAAUAUGCAAGCUUCUACUGGUGCACGGAUUCAGGUUUUUACUUAUAAGUGAUAUAUAGAACAAUGUUCUCUUAUUUGUGCAUUGGAUAUCCGUGAUUUGCUGUUAUGGUAUUUUUACCGUUGCUUUGUCGUUGAUAAUAAUUUGAAAAGAGAUUGUAUUAACUGCCAACUCCCAUGACUAGGAAAUUUCUAUCUGGAGUUCUUUGUGACUAAUGUUCAUAAUUAUUUUUUCAGGUGAUACCUCUGCAUCUUCCUCCAGGUGACACAUCAACUGAAAGAACAUUGAAAAUUGAUGGGACACCUGAGCAAAUUGAGUCUGCAAAGGAGUUGGUUAAUCAAAUCAUCAGUGGCGAGGUAUGUUUAUGGUGCUUCUUUUUGCCACAUUUGGCCUAGGCAUAUCUGUCUGGUUAUGCCAAGUCUCGUCUAGUGUUUAAAAUUGUUGUUUUUCUACUUGGUUUUUCACUCUGUAUGUUGCACAGUCUACUUAUCUUAUAGACCGAUUGAUAAAAAUAGGUUAAUGUACGUAGCUUUAUGCGAUUGUUAGAUGAAUACUCCGUGCUUCUGAUUGCCUGUUGGAUCUUUCUAUAUUUAUGGUAUUAAAAUAUAAAACUAGAUCUGAUUCACCCUGUAACAUGAUACAUGAUUUUGCAGUACUCUUUGAUUUGUUCCUUUGCAGGGAAAAAUUGUUUUGGUAAAUCAUGUGAUGCUUUUUACUAUAGUUUGCAUAAAUGAGUUUUAUUUUUUUCAUAUUAAUUAAUUCAUUGAUCUUAUUAAUGAUAUAUUAUAACACUGAUCAUUAUUACUUAGCAUUGUAUAUCAUUGAUGGUUUUGAUCUCGACUGAAGCAGCUUUUAGCUGUAUGGCAAUUAUUAGUUAACUUGAUGCGUAUUCUGGACGCUUUGAUAUCUCUUCUAAAGCAGCUUAGUUCAUAGUGUAUGUUUUUAGAAGUAGUAUGUUUCGAGAGCCUAAUGUGCCUUUCACAAGUGAUUUUUAUUAUAUGGUACUUAAACAUUGAUACGACCUCUGUUACCUAUUGUAUUGUUCUCAAAAGAAAAUCAGUAUAUAAUUUCAUAUUGUGCAACUGUUUCAAGACUUUUACAAAGUAAUACUCAAAGGUAGAAAAUAAACUAAACCUCUAGUGGCUGUUACGAUGUUCUUUCUUUUAAUCUCCAACUCUCAUCAAUGUAAUUUAUUCAGCUCGCCAGGUGGAAAUAUGGUUAGGGAGACCGUUCACUGCUAUAGCCAUAGUUUAUUAGCUGUAAUGUUAACGACUGUAUGGUAUCCUGUUCUAUGAACAGUCUUUAUAUACUGGCAAUAUGCACCUUUCUUUAUGUUUAGUCUCGGAUUAGGUGAUGGUCAUUAACUUUCAGGAUCUUCUAAUUCUGGCUUGUCAACUGGUUUUUACGUUUGUGUAUGUGCACUCUGCUCUGUAUAAUUAGCUAACACUUCUUGGCCAUUAUCUUUUAUCCAUCCACAAACUAAGCAAUAAUUGAGAUUUGGACUUUCAGUUUUCUUGACCAAGAUACCAUACUUUUUUACAUAGACCGUUUUUUAACUGUGGUGAAGUUUUUCACCUAGCCCUGUGCUUUCGUCUUACAUUGUUUUUGUUGGUUUAGAUUCCUGGGGGUGGUGAAGGCUACUGUUAUUAUGAAUAUUUUUGGGUCCUGAUGGAUACUCAUUGAGAUUAUAGCCUUCCGACAUUGGAAUAUGAUUAUUAAUUGUGUAUCCUAUGACUGAUAAUGUUAUUGGGACUGUUGUAGGGUUAGUGUCUAUUGGACUAUUGGUGACACCAACAUGAAUCCCUUUGUUGGUGUUCCCUCAGCGUGCCCUGGUAUGGUUCUAAAUCUCAGAUAUUUAUUAUCAAGGGCAGUAAGUCUCCUACUAUAUUAUUUGACUAUGGUGUCAUUAUUAGACUGAAUAUUGGAUUGUGUUGAAAAGGUUUCAACUUGGUCACUUGUGCUUUUCAGUUCAUAUCUCAACAAGAACCUUUAUGUACUUGGAAUAGUAUUUUAUCCUCGGAUCUUAUACAUGACUUUCAUUUGGCAUCAGUAACCUGAAAGUUGCCUACCGUGCAACUCUUUAAUUAUUUUCCCCUACUAUUAUUCUUCUCCAGCUUUAAAUAGUAGUUUUCUGAACUAACCAGUUAUCUUCAAGAUUUCUGUUAAGAUUUAUCUGUUGUACAUUUUGUACCACUUCUAUUCAGCCUCAUCGUUCCAUUAUUUUUCUUUUUCUUAUUCGUUUUCCAUGAAAAUAAUAUUUAAUUUUAACUUUUAAUUCCCUAGGUUGAACUAUUAGAUUGGGUUGUACAAAGGUUGAGAGUAUGUAUAUGGGAGCGCAGAAAGUUGUCUCAACAGUCUAUAUAUUUGAAUUUAGAGUUACGCCUUCAUCUUAAUAUACAGUGAAAUACUCUUUCAAUUAACCUGAAUACGAAUGAUAUAUUCUAUAUUGUAUGUGUAACAAUUGGAUUAAGAUCUUGCAUAUUUUGAGAUACUAUAUGAUGGAUUGCCCUUUCGAGGCAAUAAAUAUUGAAUGCUUGUUUGCUUCUAUGGUCUGUGCUUUCUUUUGUACCCAUCCAACUCGAAUAGGGAAAGGGUGUGCUUCUGCUGGAGUAACUCAGUUUUAUCACGAACCAGUACGGUAUGUAGGUAUUCAUAUCCCUUUCUGAUCAUGUAUGCAACCUGUUAAUGCAAGAUAAAAAACCCUUUAUAUCGUAUUUAUUAUAUGUUGAUUUUUGCAUUUGUAAGUUUAACCUGUGUACGUGUGCAUAUGUUGCUUUCUGUACUUGUCCGAUGUGGAAACUUGGGUGAAUUCACUUUUCAUAUUUGGUUUCAAUUUGUCUGCACAGAAUCGUCUUAGAAAUCCUGCAAUGUCUGGUGGUUAUCCUCAGCAAGGUUACCAAUCUCGUCCACCCUCUAACUGGGCUCCCCCUGCUCCAAUGCAGCAGCCUGGUUAUGGUUAUAUGCAGCCUGGUGGAUAUUCUGGUCCAUCACCUCAGUAUAAUAUGCCUCAACCACCAUAUGCGGGCUAUCCUCCUCAACAACCAGGUGGAUAUUCCACUAGCUGGGACCAGUCUUCUGCACCACCUCACCAACAGUCUACUCAUGCUGGCGGCUAUGAUUACUAUAGUCAACAGCCACAGCAACCGCAAAAUCCUGGAGGGCCAGCACCUCCAGGGGAUAGCUCUGCAUACAGUUACAGUCAACCACCUUCAUCUGGUUAUAGCCAACCGGGACAGGGUUAUUCUCAGGACAGCUAUAAUGCAUACAAUGCACAGUCUCAAUCAGGGUAUGGACAGCCACAAACAUAUGAUCAGCAGCAAGGCUAUGGCUCAGCUACUACUGGCUAUGGUAGUGGGAAUAACCAAGCGCAAGAGGGCCACACUGCAAGCUAUGCAUCGCAGGGAGAUUCAGGCCCAGCUCCAUCUACCCAACCGACCACACAACAAGGUUAUCCUACCAGCCAACAGCCCAGCUCAAACACUGCCAACUACCCAGCUCAGGGAACUCCUCAGUCAGGUUAUGGGGUUCCCCCGACCUCCCAAGCUGCUUAUGGAAGUCAACCACAGCCAGGUUACGGACCUGGUUAUGGAGCCCCUCAAUCUCAGAAACCAAGUGGCAAUCCUCCUGUUUAUGGACAGUCGCAGUCACCCGGUGCGGUGGGAGGCUAUGGUCAGUCAGCAUAUCCUGCUCAGCCUCCACCUUCCGGUUAUACUCAACCCCAAGCAGAAACGGGUGCUCAGAGAGCACCUCCAUCGGGCUAUGGUGCAGGGCAACCAGGUUAUGGUUCUCAAACAUAUGGUGCAGCUCAGGGUGGCCAGCCUGCUUAUGGUCAGGUACCACCUCCUUACAGCAACAGUUCUUAUGGUGCUGGUUAUACUCAGGCUCCCGCAUAUACUGGCGAUGGUAAUGGCAGUGGAAAUACGCAGCCUCCUCAGACUGCUGUUGCUAAAGCAUCGCCUCAGACUUGAUAUUUUUGUCUCCCUUCUCUCAUGGACUAUCGUUUUUAGUUGUGUUUUACUGAUCCUUAUUUUUCUAGUGACACUAUGUAGCGUUGCAUUGUUUAGAUGGAAAAAAUCGUGUAUUGAUAUUUUCUACAUUAUCCGGUUCUGUAUGGUUGAAUAGGAGCUCAUUUUUAUGUUGUUUGAAGUUGAGAUGAAAAUAACUUCCCAUUUUUAUGCUAGUUUCAGUUGUAAAUAAGGCUUUAAGGUUUCGUUUGGAAUAGAGAUUUUUUAAGAAUUAUCUUAUUAUGAAUUUAGUGAUUUUUGUAAGUGUUUUGAGAAAAAUUUAAAAUAAAAUUAUAUCCAAACGUAACUUUUUAAUAAAUUAUGAAAACAAUAAUAUUUUUUAUGAAAGUAUCUGUUAACACGGGUAACAGAUUUUUGAAUCCGAUUCUGUAGAAAUACAUACAAACGAAGAAAGAGAGUAUAAUAGAAUUUGAAAACUUAUAAAAAAAAUUGACCGUUUUUAUACUUGUAAAAGUUAAUACUUUUAUUUUUCAUUUUGGUAUUUUAUUGCCCAAGAAUAGCAUGUUUUAUUUUCAUCUCUUAGUGGAUUUUGCAUAAAAAUUGAAUAAUACUUGAUGAUGCUUGUUUGGUUUAGAGUGUUAGAUGGAUGUGAAAAAUGAAAAUUGUUUAAACCAAUUCCAACUCAUAUAAUAUUGAGCUAACAUACACUAAAAUCAUAUUCUAAAAAGAGGUAAGUCUGUCAAAAUUUUCUAAAAACUUGCAACUAUGGUUUAGAUAAUUGGACAUGACACUUUUUUCAAAAUCGACCAAUUCAAUCUAUAAAUAAAACUAUUGUAAUGUCGAAAAUUCAAAUCUUUUCCCAUAAAACCCAAUGUUAAAAAUAUUAGUGACUCUUGGAAUAUUAUUGGUGAGCAAAACAGAAAUGGGAAUUGGAUUUUCUCUUUUGCCAAGGCUAUUUGAAACUGUGGAUCAUAACUUCUGAUAAUUUCAUUCAAAAAAUAUAUUUUAAUAUAAAGUGAAAGUUAUAUAUUUAUCGAAAAUAAAAAAUAAAUAUUAAAAAAGAUAACAAAGAGAAAGAGUAAUAGGAAUGCCGUUAUCUAAAUUAUAAGUCAGUUGUUAAUAUACUAACUCAUUAUAAAGUUUCUCUUAAGUCAUAUAUAUUUAUUUUUUUUCUUAUAAGAUUCUUAGAUAUUUUUAAGAAUUUAUUAAAGAACCUCAUUAAUUAAUAUUUUUUAAUUCAACCCUUAUUGUUGGAAGAAAAAAAAAGAUUGGUUAUAUUCUGAAAAAAGAAAACUUAGUUGAAUCCCUAUUAAAGUACACGAUUAUACAUUUAUUUAUAAAUACAUCCAAUAUUAUCGUUAGUGGAAAAAUCAUUUUUUAUGAGGAGUAAAAAUGAUUUAUUAUGAUGGGUAACCUGACAUAAUAGUUUUGGGCAUCAUAAUAGGUCUGCACAUUUUAUGACGGACAGAAAAGUCCAUAAUAAUAGGUCCUAUUAUGACGGACUUUCUGUCAUCUAUUAUAAUAGGUCCAGUGUAUUAUGACGAAUUUUCACUUAUCAAUCAUAAUAUAGCGAAUUUAUUAUGAUGCAACUAAAUUUACCUAUGAUAAUAUGUAGUGUUUUAUGACUAAGAUUUUUUCACCUGUCAUAAUAUGUAGAACAUAUAAGUAAUUGUUCACCUAUCAUAAUAUAUAUUUUUCAGAAAUAAGUUUUUAUUACAAACAUUGUUCACCACCUAUAAUAAAAACUUGUUUUGUAAAAAUAAAUCAUUAUUACAUUUGACAUAUCCAUUCAAUUUACAAUUAAUUUCCUGUAUUAUAAUCCCAUCAAUCAAUUUAUAAUCAAUAUAACAUGAAAUGAACAUAUUCAAUUAAACUAACAUAAUGAAAUUCAUUUUAAACAUAAUAAUAUUUAAUACAUAAUUUGUACAUCAAACCAUAUAUUAAUUCCAAAUAUAACAUUAACCUAUACUAUUACAUUGUAGUCAAGUUUCUACAAUUUACUAACAAUUAAAAUAAAAGAAAUCCACUUGUUUCUAGUGUCUUCAAUGUCUAGAGUCCAUUAGAGAUGAAUAAGUAAAGAUUUAUAAAUAAAAUAAUUAAGUUAGAAAAAUUUUAUAAUGAAGAAAUUAUUUUAUCAUACUAAGGUAUAGAAUAACAAAAGAUAAGACAUAACCAUGAAGGUCAUUUUACAGAUUGUUACAUCUUGAACAAUGGUCUGGAUAAAGCCAGAGACUUGACCAUUACUCCAAUGAUAAAAUAAUCACCAUUAUCAUAUAGCACAAAUACUACAACAAGCAAUAUGAGUACGUACCAACUUACUUUUUAAAAAUGACAUCAGGUUCACAAGCAAGAUCAAGUAAACAAAAGCUUUUUAAAAGACAACAGAGACAUGGAGCACCAAAAUGUGAUAUACCUAGGUUGCAUUUAUGCUAUCACGGUGAAACUGACAUAUCUUUCCAAGAAGUGAAACAACAUUGUCAUAUGCCAUUACGUUAUCAAGGAAGUUGUGCAUUUGGAUGUCUUAUCACAGUAUCUAACCUUGAGAGUGUCUCUACAGUAGAGCAGAUAAAAAAUAAAAUAAAAAAGAUAUAUAAUUGGCCGCGGAAAAACAGUUAAAUGGUGGUAUUGGGCAACUAACCUCCAACAAGGGGUUUGAAAACAAAUCCACCAAACUCAUCACACACACCAACACUAUAAACAACAGCCUGCAAAGACAUUUAAUUAUUUUGAGAAUAUUAUUAUCCCAGAUUAUAUUCUAAAAAUGGAAAGCAACACUAAUAUAUAGAAAACCAAGAAGGGGAAGUUAACUUUUCGAACAUCUGGAUAUUCAUCAUUGCAAGCUUCUAGUAAGAAUGGAAGGAAAGAAUCAUACUAUUUGUGCAACAAAAAGAAACAUGUAAAAAUAUAGAACAAAAUCAUUCAGGGUAAAGGGGAUAAAUUUUUUUUUUGCAAGGAAAUGUAGAAAAUCCACACAAGAACGAAAGACAUGGGACUCCCACAAGGAGGAAGCACUUACUUGAGAGCAGUUUCACGACAGUGCUCAAAAACAUCAUCAAAUAUACAAAUGGCAAUUCUCCUUUCCUAUGAGGUUUUAUCUUAGCCCUGAUAUUGAUUAUCAAUGGCGGAGGGACGAAAUGGGAUCAGAAAACAAAAUGGAAAAAAUUUCUAAGCUCAUAAUUUGUACAAAUAUAAAAAUGUCCACAUUCACAAAUAUAGACAAGUAGUUCAGUAGUAAAUUAGUAAUUGACAUAAUCCAAGUUAUUUUCGUGUGCUCUGGGAAGGGGCAUAAGAACAUUAGCAUAAAACCCAAAUUUCAUAUAGCAUUUCAGGAGGUUGCAUCGUCAUGAUAGAGGCUAGUUCACGUGAUAUUAUCCACUUUUUUCACUGGCUACAUCGCCUUUUCCCUAAUAAAAAAUGGCAUAUAUAACAAUCAAGAAAAAUGAAUAUCAACUUAGGAAAGAAAGAUAAUAGCUAGACAAGUUUUUUUUUUUUUCAUUCAAAUUAAUUGCCUUACAGAAAAACAUUUCACAAAAAACAAAAGGAAAUGCCAUGAGAGGAAAGAUAGACAACUUCAAAGCAAGAACGCCAAAAACUUAAGACUAAUUCUAGCAUCAAAUAUGUAUUAUUAGACAGACAGAAAGAAGCUUUUAUAUAUAUAUAUAUAUAUAUAUAUAUAUAUAUAUAUAUAUAUAUAUAUAUAUAUAUAUUAGUCUAAGCUUAACCUGACAAAGAGUUUUAGAUAAACGUGUUCUGUUAAGAUCAAUAAUAAUACAAAAAAAGGUACUCAAAUGUUUCCGUUGAAAGAGAAGUGUAUAAAUGUGGAAGAAAUUCACUCUUAAAGGAGGGUUGUUAGAAUUUAAAGUGUGAGUCUAAAUCUCACAUUCGAUAGAAAUGAUUAGAGAAUCUUGGAUUUUAAUGGUUUCUCUUUCAUGUUCAUCCAUUCCUUCUUCCACCGUCAUCUUUUUUUACCUCCCUUUUAUCGGCAUUACAUUUGACUCGUCCAUAUAUGUUUUUUUUCCCAUGAAAAAGAUGAAUUUUGUUAGUUUGUUUAUAGUCGUGGUGACUCUCCAAUAAUGAUCUCUUUAUCCACUAGAUGACAACAAUGCAUUCCUCAACCUUAAUUUGAAAAAAGAGAUUUACAUGGAGCAACUUUCCAAAUUUGUUGCUCAGGAGAGUCUUUUGGGUUGGUAUUUCAUCUUCUAUGUUGUCUUGAAAAUCAUUAGCAAUUUAGUGUCACUCAAGUGUAGAAGUUGAUAUUUUCACUAAAUCUCUAUAGAUUAUAUUAGUAAAAAGCUCGAUACAUACAAUUUGUAUGCAUUAACUAAAGGGGAAGUGUUAGAUAUAUUAUACAAGUGAGAUUAAUCCCAUACAUAAUUUUUUUCAUUAUAUUCAACAAAACCUAUGACAACUUAUCAAGUUUUAGUUUCUUCAAUCCUCAACAAGCAACAAUGCAUUAAGUUUAAUAGUCUUAAGAUUACUAAUGAACUAUAUUUUAUCCCUAAAUAUAAGCUCUAUUAAAUACUUAAUUUUAGUUUUAGGUUCAAAAGUCAUUUUGCAAUAUCUUAGUAACCAAUUAAGUCACAACAAGAAUUAAACAUAAAAAUCAAAUACCAAUAUAAGAAUGUAAAAGCAUGCGCGCGUACACACACACACACACACACACACACAUAUAUAUAUAUAUAUAUAUAUAUAUAUAUAUUAAUAACAAAAUAUACACAAAAAAUUAGUUUAGGGUUAAAUAUGUUUUUAUUCCCUAUACUAUCAAGCGGUUUUGGUUUUAGUCUCUCUUUCAAAGUAAGGUACAUUUUAGUCCUCCUUCCUAAGGAAACUUUAAUUUUAGUCCUCCAAAACUAACACCAUUAAAAACUAGCUGAUGUGGCUAACACUGUAAUGGCACGUCAUUUUUUUUUCUAACAUUAGUCAAUCUCCUUCAUUCGAAACCCAUGGACCACCACCAAGCCGCCAUCUGCACAUGGUUGUUGUUUCUCUGAUUGCAGGUGGCUUUUCACGGCAGCAAUUUAGGGCAUUUGGAGGUCGCGAUUUUUUGGUGUAUUUUCUGCAUUUUAGGUUACGAAGAUGGUGUCGCUGGUCAUGGGAGAUACUCGUUGAUGAAGACCGCGAGUGAAGGUGACUCUACUUCACGAUGGUGCUUAAUGGCGAAGGCAUGGUGGCGAGUCUGGAUUUGAGUUUUGUUGUAAGUGAUGGUGGAACAUGGAGCAGUUUUGUUGAGUCACGAUUUGCGACUUCUGUUUUGAAAUCUCUAUGCGAAGAAGAUGGAGGUCGAGGGUGAUGAACCCAUUGUGCUCUGGUGACAGCGGCCCAUGUUGAGGAUGCGAUUUUGGGUUCCCUUUUAUUCUGGGCUUCUGUGUUUUCUCUGACAGGUGCGAGAUCGAUGAUGACGCGAAGGUGGCAAGCUUCCUGGUGGCUGCCAUGGAGGAGAUUGAAUCUUGCGAUCUAGCGAAGAGAAACACGAUACUGGUUGCGCUCUGCGACAACUUAGUGGUGGUCCGAUGAAGAGUUUUUUGUUCGAAGGAUUUGGUGAAAACGAUGGAGGGAGCGGAAGAUGGAAGGAAGGAAACAGAAGGGAGAGAGGGGAGGGAGAAAAGCUGGGAAAAAUUAAGGUUUAAUACAUCUUUUGGUCCCAUCUUUUGGGACUUUUGUUCAAAAUGAUCCUACCUUCGGAAAAAAAUCACUUUGGUCCCAUAUUUCAUUAAAUGUUGUUCAAAAUGGUCCCUAUGGCAGACGACGUUAAAUUUUUAAUGGUGAAGUUGCUAGCGUGGCAAACGUCUAUCCACCUAUUUAAAAUUUAUAUCACGUGGCUUUUUGAAAACAUUUAAGGGUAAUUAAAAAACCCCUAAUUAAAAUCAAAUUAGAAAAUUAGGGUAGGUAAAAAACCCCUAACCCUAAUUGUUUUUCAAUUGUCGUGGAGAGAAGGCUCUGGGUUGUUCAUCUGCUGUUCAUUUGUCGCGAUUGGAGAUCACGUCAGUGGUGAUUGCUUGAAGGUGGUAGUUCAACAUUGACAGUUUUGACAAUUUUCUUACUGUCACUUUUCAUCAUCUUGUUUUUCUUCUUCUUAAUGUUGUAUUGCAGAGUUAAUUAAGCCCUGAAAUGAAAUUAACUCUAGUGGAGGGAAUCCACGAGUUUCCAGCAAUAAAAUUAGCAACAGUGAAUUUGGAAGCAUCUUCAACCUUAAGAACGUGAAAACCCUGCCACUGCACCCUCCCUGCGGUUCCAGCACCACCUCCUUCAUUGCCGUACUCCGCGAAAUACAAACUCUUCAAAACGGAGCUUCCAUACCCAGGCCACGCCACCCACCCUUUCGCCGCAAUCACUUCGUCGAUUCUACUCUGCAUCACCACCGAUCUCGAAUACUCCUUCCAGGGUCUCCCCAGAAACGAACUGUGCGACUGCUUAAAGUCCGAGGUCGGCGAUAUACUGCUCUUGUGAACGGAGAACCCAGUGUUCUGCCCGGGGUUAGAUCUAAAAACAAUUAGGGUUGGGGGUUUUUAAUUACCCUAAUUUUCUAAUUUGAUUUUAAUUAGGGGUUUUUUAAUUACCCUUAAAUGUUUUCAAAAAGUCACGUCAUAUAAAUUUUAAACAGGUGGAUAGACGUUUGCCACGCUAGCAACUUCACCGUUAAAAAUUUAACGUCGUCUGCCAUAGGGACCAUUUUGAACAACAUUUAAUGAAAUAUGAGACCAAAAGAUGUAUUAAACCAAAAAUUAACUAGUGUUAGAAAAAAAUGAUGUGCCAUUACACUGUUAGCUACAUCAGCUGGUUUUUAAUAACAUUAGUUUUGGAAGACUAAAAUUAAAAUUUAUUAAGAAAGAGGACUAAAAUAUACCUUACUUUAAAAUAUGAACUAAAACCAAAACCGCUGAUAAUAAAAUUGAAAUAAAUAAAUAAAUGUAAAAUAAAGUUUAUUUAUAACAAUGUAUCUUUAUUUUUUUGAUAGUUUAUUUAUACAAAGAAACACCCAUAAAAAUUGAAAUAAAGUUGGAAGUCCAUGGAUGACGUAAAAAGGCCUCAUUAUUUUAUUUUGGUUGUACAAGGGAAGCAAUGUAAAAUAUCUCUUCUUUUUUUUUCUCCACUACCCCACCCAAGGGAUCACACUAGCCACCACUAUAAAUUAUAAAUAUUAGCACAGCCUCUCUUACACACCUAACAUCUCUAGGGUUUGUGUCAAUGGCGGACGAAACUCACUAUUCAUCUCCCAAAGACUCUGCGCCCCUCAAACGCAAGUACGAAGACCAAUCCUCCGACAGGCCCACUGGCUUCUCGGCAGGUCCCGCCACCGGCAUCGAGCUCGCCAAGCAGCGUGCUCAAGAAGUUGCCGCCCGCCUCCUCAGCGUUGCUCCUCCUCCCCCGCUCGACGCCAAGCGUCCCAAAUCCGAUAACGGUGCUCCUACCUCCGGCUUCGAUUCUUAUGGUAACUAUCUGUCCCUCUCUGCUCCACACUUCUGCUCGUUUAGGUUAGGGUUUAUAAACUCUGAUUUCCGUGAACGUAGAUGCGAAGCCUCAGUACUCUGCUGUUCCUCCAGUCUCCUACAGUCACCAAGGAACGAGCAAGAAGAUUGAUAUCCCUAACGGCCGGGUUGGUGUGAUUAUUGGCAAAAGUGGAGAGACCAUUAAAUAUCUUCAGUUGCAGUCUGGUGCCAAAAUUCAAGUUACUCGCGAUAUGGACGCCGACCCUAAUUCUGCUACCAGGACCGUUGAGCUUAUGGGCACUCCCGAGGCAAUUGCCUCUGCAGAGAAACUCAUUAAUGAAGUUCUUGCCGAGGUUAAACUCAUUUUAUACUUCUCGUUUUCUUUUUCUGUCAAUCACAAAUGGACUAGAUUUCGUUUAUCUACCAAGGAGGAGUGUUUCCUGAUGAACUUCUCAAAUGUUUAAUUAUUGCAAUAUGUAUGAUGAUAACCUCUUCUAUACCAGGCUGAAUCUGGAGGCUCUGGCAUUGUUGCUCGAAGACUAACCGGACAAGCUGGGUCAGAUGAAUUUGUUAUGAGAAUCCCAAAUAAUAAGGUGUGAAAGGCAGAUUUGUUGAAGUGUAUGCUUUGUACAAUAUCAUAAGUGAUUCUCGAGUUCAGGUAUGUGGUUCUUCUGUCUGUUUGGAUUAAUAUGUUCAUUGUGGGCAUCUUCAGGUUGGCCUUAUUAUUGGAAAAGGUGGAGAAACCAUAAAGAAUAUGCAAGCUUCUACUGGCGCACGGAUUCAGGUUUUUACUUAUAAUUGAUACGACCGUAAUCUUAUUUGUGUAUUAGACAUAGGUGAUUUGCCGAUAUGGUGUUCUUUCUGUAGCCUUGAGAUUGCUACUAAUUUGAUAAGAGAUUGUGAUAACUGCCAACGCUCGGGACUUGGAAAUUUCUAUCGGAGUUCCUUGUGAUUAAUGUUCAUACGAUUAUUUCAGGUCAUACCUCUGCAUCUUCCUCCGGGUGACACAUCAACUGAAAGAACUUUAAAGAUUGAUGGGACACCUGAGCAAAUUGAGUCUGCAAAGGAGUUGGUUAAUCAAAUCAUCAGCGGCGAGGUAUGUUAAUGGUGCUUCCUUUUGCCACAGUUGGCUUAGGCAUAUCUACCUGGUUAAGCCAAGUCUAGUUCAGUGUUUACAAUUGUUGUUUUUCUACUUGAUUAUUCUACUUGAUUUUGUACCUGGUUAAGCCAAGUCUAGGUUAACUUACUUGCAAGCUUUAUGUGAUUGUUGUAUGAAUACUUUGUGCUUGUCAUUGCCUGUUGGACCUUUUUAUUUUUUUAUGAUAUUGAAAUAUAAAAUUAGAUCUGAUUGAUCCCUGUUGCUUGAUACAUGUUUUCUGUACUUUCUCCGAUUUGUUUCUUUACAGGUAAAAAGUUCGUUUGGUAAAUCAUGAGAUGGUUUUUACUUUAGUUUGCAUAAAUGAUUUUUAUUCUGUUCAUAUUAAUUAAUUUAUUGAUCUUAUUAAUGAUAUAUCAUAGCACUAUGACCAUUAUUACUUAACAGUGUAUAUUAUUGAUGUUUUCAUCUGGAAUGAAGAAGCUUAGCUGUAUGGCAAUUUUGAUGCGUAUUCUGGAUGCAUUGAUAUCUCUUCCAAAGCAGCUUAGCUGAUAGUGUCUGUUUAUGGAAGUAGUGAUUUCUUCAGAGUGUAAUGUGCCUUUGGCAAGUGGUUUCUAUAAUAUGAUACUUAAAUAUUGAUAUGACCUGUUACCUAUUGUGUUGUUCUCAAAAGAAAAUUAGUACAUUUAAUUUCAUAUUGUGCAAGUGUUUCAAGACUUUUACAAAGUAAUUCACUACGGUAGAAAAGAAACUAAGUCACUAGUGGCUGUUAUGAUGUUCUUGCUUGUAAUCUCCAACUCUCUUCAGUGUAACCUCAUCAGCUCGCCUUUUGGAAAUAUGUUUAGUGAGACCGUUCACUGCUAUAGCCGUCAUUUAUUAGUUGUAUUGUGGUGUGAACAACUGUAUAGUAUCUUGUUUUAUUAACAGUCUUGACAUACUAGCAAUAUGUGCCUUUCUUUAUGUUUAGCCUCGGAUUAGGUGAUGGUCAUUAACUUUCAGGGUCUUUCUAAUUAUGACUUGUAAACUGCGUACUUAUUUUGUGCAUGAGUAUUGUGCUCUGUAUAAUUAGCUAAUACGUCUUAUCCAUUAUCUCUUUUAUCCAUCCACAAACCAAUGACUUUGGUAGCAAUAUUUGAGAAUAGGCUCAGUUUUCUUGACUAAGAUACCAUACUUUUACAAAGACCUUAUUUUAACUGUGGUGUAGUUUUGCACCUGGCCCAGUGCUUUGGAGAGUUUCCUUUUUCGUUUUUAUUGGUUUAAAUCAGUGGGGGCUGCGAAGGCUACUGUUAUUAUGAAAUCUUUUGGUCCAGAUGGAUACUCAUUGAGAUUAUAGUCUCUCGACAUUGGAAUAUGCUUAUUAAUUGUGUAUCCUAUGACUGAUGUUGUUAUUGGGACUGUUGUAGGGUUAGUGUCUAUUGGACCAUUGGUGACACCAACAUGAAUCCAUUUGUUGGUGUUCCCUCAGCAUGCCCUGGUAUGGUUCUAAAUCUCAGUUUUGAUAUUUAUUAUCAAGGGCAGUAAGUCUCCUACUAUAUUUUUUGACUAUGGUGUCAUUAUUAGAUUGAAUAUUGAAUUAUAUUGAAAUAGUUUUCAACUACCAAGUGGUUUUCAGUUCAUUUCUCAAAAGAACCUUUAUGUACUUGGAAUAGUAUUUAUCCUCGUAUGUUAUACUGGACUUACAUUUGGCAUAGGUAAUCUGAGACGUGCCCAUUGUGCUGCACUUUAAUUAUUUUCUCUAUUCUAUUAUUUUUGUCCAGUUUUAAGUAGUAGUUUUCUUAACUAACCAGUUAUCUACAAGAUUUCUGCUAAGAUUUGUCUGUUGUACAUUUUGUGCUACUUCUAUUCUGCUUCAUCAUUCCUCUAUUUUCUUUUUCUUAUUAGUUAUCAACUUAAAUAAUAUUUAAUUUGAACUUUGAAUUCGUGAUCCUGAGGUUGAAUUAUUAGAUUGGGUUGUACAGAGGUUGAGAGAGGAUGUACAUGGGAGCACAAAAUAAUUGCCUCGACAGUCUGUAUAUUUGUAUUUAGAGUUGAGCCUUCAUCUUAAUACAUUGUUAAAUAUCUGUAGUUCCAGUCAGACUUGUUGAAUUAAUAUGAAUACAAGUAUUAUAUUGUAUAUUGAAUAGCGUAACAAUUGGAGUAAGAUCUUGCAUAUUUUGAGAUACUAUAUGACGGAUUGCCUUUUCAAGGCAAUAAAUAUUGAAUGCUUGUUUGCUUCUAUGGUCUGUGCUUUCUCUUGUACCCAUCCAAUUCGAAUAGGGAAAGGGUGUGCUUCUGCUGGAGUAACUCAGUUUUAUCACGAACCAGUACGGUAUGUAGGUAUUCAUAUCCCUUUCUGAUCUUGUAUGCAACCUGUUAAUGCAAGAUAACAUACCCUUUAUAUCGUGUUCAUUAUAUGUUGAUUUCUGCAUUUGUAGGUUUAACCUGUGUACGUGUGCAUAUGUUGCUUUCUGUACUUGUCUGAUGUAGAAACUUGGGUGAAUUCACUCCCUUUAUUUUUGUUUUCUAUUUGUCUGCACAGAAUCGACUUAGAAAUCCUUCAAUGUCUGGUGGGUAUCCUCAGCAAGGCUACCAAUCUCGACCACCCUCUAACUGGGGUCCCCCCGCACCAAUGCAGCAACCUGGUUAUGGCUAUGUUCAACCUGGAGCAUAUUCUGGUCCAUCACCUCAAUAUAACAUGCCUCAGCCACCAUAUUCAGGCUAUCCUCCCCAACAACCAGGUGGAUAUUCCACCAAUUGGGACCAGUCUUCUGCACCACCUCACCAACAGUCUACUCAUGCUGGUGGCUAUGAUUACUAUAGUCAACAACCACAACCGCAAAAUCCUGGAGGUCCUGCACCUCCAGCUGACGGCUCUGCAUACAAUUAUAGUCAACCACCUUCAUCUGCUUAUAGCCAACCGGGACAGGGUUAUGCUCAGGACAGCUAUAAUGCAUAUAAUGCACAAUCUCAUUCGGGGUAUGGACAACCACCAACGUAUGAUCAGCAACAAGGCUAUGGCUCCGUUACUGGCUAUGGUAGUGGGAAUAACCAAGCACAAGAGGGCCACACUUCGGGCUAUGCAUCGCAGGGAGAUUCAGCCCCAGCUCCAUCAACCCAACCGACCACCAUUGCACAGCAAGGUUAUCCUACCAGCCAACAGCCCAGCUCAAACACUUCCAACUACCCACCUCAGGGAACUCCUCAGUCGGGUUAUGGCGUCCCCCCUACAUCCCAAGCUGCUUAUGGAAGUCAACCACAACCAGGUUAUGGUCCUGGUUAUGGAGCCCCUCAAUCUCAGAAACCAAGUGGCAAUCCUUCUGUUUAUGGACAGUCGCAGUCACCUAGUGCAGUAGGAGGCUAUGGUCAGUCAGCAUAUCCUGCGCAGCCUCCACCUUCUGGUUAUACUCAACCCCAAGCAGAAACUGGUGCUCAGAGAGCACCUCCGUCGGGCUAUGGUGCAGGGCAACCAGGUUAUGGUUCUCAAGCAUAUGGUGCACCUCAGGGAGGCCAGCCUGCUUAUGGACAGGCGCCGCCUCCAUACACCAACAGUUCUUAUGGUGCUGGUUAUACUCAGGCUCCGGCCUAUACUGGCGAUGGUAAUGGCAGUGGGAAUACUCAGCCUCCCCAAACAACUGCUGCUAAAACUUCGCCCCAGACUUGAUAUUUUCCCCCCUCCCUCUUUUUCAUGGACUUCUUUUUAGUCGUGUUUUGUAGUUGUUUAUUCUACUAGCGAUACCCACCUAUGUAGCGUUGCAAUGUUUAGAUGUAAGGGUUCGUGUACUGAAAUUUCCUACAUGUUGAAUAUUUUUGUAUGGUUAAAUUGGAUCUCAUGGUGAUGGCAUUUGAAAAAAAUGGGGAACUUAAUUUAAGUUGCCAAACUAUGUGUCGAUUUUCAUCUAAUUUUUAGUGAGUUCAACUGAC
rnacentral:lncRNA from 1 species